rnacentral:rRNA from 1 species
GUACACGCUGUGACUAGCAUAUCAAUAAGCGGAGGAAAAGAAACUAACAAGGAUUCCCCUAGUAACGGCGAGUGAAGCGGGAAGAGCUCAAAUUUGAAAUCUUAAAGGGUUUUCCCUUUACGAAUUGUAGUUUAAAGAAGUGUUUUCUGUUGAGGUUUUGGUAAAAGUUCUUUGGAAUAGGACAUCAUAGAGGGUGAGAAUCCCGUAUUUGACCUUUACUUUCAACUUUGUGAUACACUUUCAAAGAGUCGGAUUGUUUGGGAAUGCAGUCCAAAAUGGGUGGUAAAUUUCAUCUAAAGCUAAAUAUUGGCGAGAGACCGAUAGCGAGCAAGUACCGUGAGGGAAAGAUGAAAAGAACUUUGAAAAGAGAGUUAAACAGUACGUGAAAUUGUCAAAAGGGAAGCGUUUGACACCAGUGUUGUUUUUCUGAAAAUCAAUUAAGGAACUGUUUAUGCUAAGUUGUUUAGACUUUAUCAGCUAACUGUUUAGUUUUGAGCUUUUCUUUAAUGCACUUUUCAGUUAACAAGUCAACAUCAAUUUCUUUUGCUGUAAAAAAGCUUGAGGAAGGUGGCUUGAGAUUCGUCUUAAGUGUUUAUAGCCUCUUGCCUAUGCAGUCGGAGAGAUUGAGGUCUGCAGCGUAGAUCCUUCGGGGCUAAAUGCAUUUGUGCUAAGUUAUAGCAUUUUAUAGACAACUUGUUGACUAUGAUUUGUCUUGUAGCUUACUCGCUUAUGUUAUUUUACCUACGCUUAGGAUGUUGACACACGCGCGUGCUCG